rnacentral:rRNA from 1 species
AAACCUGAGAAACCCAAAAGAUCGAAUGGGGAGAUUCAUCGUCAGCGAUGCUGGCACGUGGGCGGUUCGCGAUGACGCGUGACCUCGGUCGCGCGGCACGGGCCGUCCAUUUUAAUCGCCUGGCAUCGUCGGCGUGCACUUCUCCCCUAGUAGGACGUCGCGACCCGUUGGGUGUCGGUCCACGGCCCGGGUGGUAGUCUGUCUCGUGUGCGCCUCGCGGCGUUUCGCGGGUCAGACCCCCGGUCGCCCGACCGGCUGCCCGGCGGUACUCGCACGGUACAUGGCCGCAAUAUAAUGAACUGCGUCCGGCCCGUCGUCAGCGUGGCAAGUGGUUCCCGGUGCGAGCGGAUCUGAGGCCGCCAUCGGUCCUGGCCAGCUGUUUGGCGACGGUGUCUUAGGACUGGCCAACAGUUACCGGUCGGCGACGCUACUGCUUUGGGUACUUUCAGGACCCGUCUUGAAACACGGACCAAGGAGUCUAACAUGCGCGCGAGUCAUUGGGAAUAACUCAAGCCCAAAGGCGCAAUGAAAGUGAAGGUCGGCCUCGCGCCGACCGAGGGAGGAUGGGCCGCGUUCUCGUGCGGUCCCGCACUCCCGGGGCGUCUCGUUCUCAU